rnacentral:tmRNA from 1 species
GGGACUGAUUUGGGUUCGACGGGAAUAGGAGGUACUAAACUGCAAGUCGAAGGUACGCGUUAAGUACAAACAAAAAUUAAAUGGAAAUAAAUUAAAAAAUGCAUUCACUUCAUUAUUCGCUAAGAAUGAUGUUGUAUUUGCCUAAUUAAUAGGGGAUGCAACUUUCUUUAAAAUUUUGCCUGUGAGUUUUUUAGAGAGUUCGAUUUAGCAGGAUAUAUUAUUAUUUAGCAUAGAAGUAAUAAUGAAUUUUAUAUGCUUACUAAAUAAUUAGUUGUCAGUUACUAUAAUUAUUUAGGAAUUUAAUUAAUUGACUAAACUUGUAGAUGUUUUUUACUAAAUAUUUUUGGACAGGGGUUCAAUUCCCCUCAGUUCCACCA